GGCCGGUACAGGAAGCUGGCGCUUCCCGCGGGCUGCAAACCCGUUGAGCGCGUGCCAGGCAUGCGCUGCUGGGUUCGAUUCCCAGCCCGGUCUCCA
rnacentral:tRNA from 1 species